rnacentral:lncRNA from 1 species
UUUACAUUUGGUGGGAAUUAAAGGGCCAAUUUAUUAUUUUCUUCAACAGAUAAUCAGUUAUUCAAGGUCAGUUUAAGAACAAAAUCAGCUUUCCUUUCACCUACCACCAUCACCACACUAUGCACCCCAAGAAAGACCCAGAAACUCUGCUCAUGGUGCUGUAGCCAUGUGAGCCACAGCCUCUAGAGUAAUGAUGGCAAAUCCAAUGACCUACUUGGUGACGGAAAAGAGACGGGAGCUGCAAGACAUGGGGCACCCAUGGCCAGAGUCUCAGAUGGCUGCCUGACUAGAAUGUCAAGGAGGGGACAUCACGGGAAAAUGAGAGGAAGAUGACAAAAAUGCUGAAGCAGGGGUAUAAUGGGAAGAUUUCAACUUAAGCUUUGAUUGGAUGGCUAAAAACAAAU